AUGGGGGCAUGUAGGACGGCUUCUACGUGUUCACCGGACGAGGCUCAAGGCAUGCAUGUGUUCGAUAUCUUGGGCUACAGCAAGCACAUGGGCAUGGGCAAAGACCCCGAUAGCUUCAUAAGAUCCAGGAUUUUCACUGUCGGCGGCCACGACUGGGCCAUCCGCUUCUACCCUGAUGGAUACGGUAAAGCAUGCCCAGAUUACAUCUCAGUUUAUCUCGAGCUUAUGAGUAACAGCACUAAAGUCCGGGCAUCCUGCGACCUGAGGCUAGUCGACCACUGCACCGGGUCAUCAUCUUCAGUGCAUAAAACGGGACCCAGGAUUUUCAAUUCCGGUGAUGCUACUAAGUUUGCUCCACCUCAUUCUUCUUUCAAAAAGCGAAACGAGAUCGAGGGAUCAACUUACCUCAGGGAUGAUCGCCUGACGAUAGAAUGCAUGGUCACUGUUAUAAAAAAGCCACAUGUUGCCGAUACCAAGCCAUUGCCCAAGAUCGACAUGCCACCAUCUGACAUGACUGCACAUGUUGGCAGGCUGCUGGAAGAAAAGGAGGGAUUUGAUGUUAGUUUCAUUGUUGGGGAAGAGACCAUUGACGCGCAUAGGUUCGUUCUCGCUAUGCGGUCGCCUGUUCUGAAAGCAGAGCUCUACGGGCCGAUGAGGGAGGCGAGGCCUGGGCAGUGCAUAACCAUCAAGGACAUGCAACCUGCCGUUUUCAAGGCCCUGCUCCAUUUCAUCUAUACCGACUCUUUGCCGGGAGACAUGGAUCUUGAGGGAGAUGAGGAUACUGACAUGGUCCGGCUUUUGCUAGUGGCUGCAGAUAGAUAUGCCAUGGAGAGGCUCAAGCUGGUUUGCCAAAGCAUCCUUUGUGACGAUCUGAAUGCAGACACCGUGGCAACCACACUGGCUUUAGCUGACCAACAUAACUGCCACAAGCUUAAGGAUGCUUGCCUUGAAUUUAUGGAAAUGUCAGAUGACAUGGAUGCUGUGGUGGCAACCCAAGGCUUCAAGGAUGUCAAGGCGACUUGCCCAUCUCUCAUAGUGGACGCAUUGGAGAAGAGAAGAAAGUUUCGUAAAGCAUGA
rnacentral:rRNA from 1 species